GUGAGGAAUUUUCCGCAAUGGGCGAAAGCCUGACGGAGCAAUGCCGCGUGAAGGAUGAAGGCCUAUGGGUUGUAAACUUCUUUUCUCAGAAAAGAAUUAUGACGGUAUCUGAGGAAUAAGCAUCGGCUAACUCUGUGCCAGCAGCCGCGGUAAGACAGAGGAUGCAAGCGUUAUCCGGAAUGAUUGGGCGUAAAGCGUCUGUAGGUUGUUUAAAAAGUAUUCUGUCAAAGAUUAGGGCUUAACCCUAGAUAGGCAGAAUAAACUUGUAAUGUAGAGGUUGGUAGAGGCAGAGGGAAUUCCCGGUGGGGCGGUGAAAUGCGUAGAUAUCGGGAGGAACACCAAAGGCGAAGGCACUCUGCUGGGCCAAUACUAACACUGAGAGACGAAAGCGAGGGGAGCAAAUGGGAUUAGAUACCCGAGUAGUCC
rnacentral:rRNA from 1 species